GCGUCGACCAUUUCUGGCCAGCAACUUUCAGGUUCCUGAAACUACUUUGCUCAGCCGUUCUAACACUGGGACAUUUCUCCGUUGAAAGCUGCCUGACUCUACUAUGUGAGUCCAUGCACCACAGUGUCUGCCUCUGGAGGACUUUUGCAAUCACAUUGAGAAACCAGGAUUGCUUUAUGGUUUUGAUGAUUAGACAGAAUAUACAAAGAAGAGAGUGAGAUAACAUUUAUCUUGCAAAACACUGUGAACUCAACAGUAGUUACCAACUUCCUGCUAAAGAACCAAUUACAGUAUCAGAAAGUUACAAAGGUUGGUCAAUCCUGUAACUGUCUCUAUAGUUACUGCUAACUUCAACGAAGCAAGAUCUCUGUUCUCUUCUAAGCA